rnacentral:rRNA from 1 species
GACGGAGGAUGCAAGUGUUAUCCGGAAUCACUGGGCGUAAAGCGGCUGUAGGUGGUUCGAAAAGUCCACUGUUAAAAAUUGAGGCUUAACUUCAAAGAUGCCGUGGAAACUUUCAAACUAGAGUAUGGUAGGGGUAGAGGGAAUUUCCAGUGGAGCGGUGAAAUGCGUAGAUAUUGGAAAGACCACCGAUGGCGAAGGCACUCUACUGGGCCAUUACUGACACUGAGAGACGAAAGCUAGGGGAGCAAAUGGG